AACGAACGCUGGCGGCAUGCCUAACACAUGCAAGUCGAACGAGACCUUCGUGUCUAGUGGCGCACGGGUGCGUAACGCGUGGGACCCUGCCCUUAGGUUCGGAAUAACUCCCCGAAAGGGGUGCUAAUAUCGGAUAAUUUCCUCGGAUCAAAGAUUUAUCGCCUUUGGAUGGGCCCGCGUUGGAUUAGCUAGUUGGUAGGGUAAAAGCCUACCAAGGCGACGAUCCAUAGCUGGUCUGAGAGGAUGAUCAGCCACACUGGGACUGAGACACGGCCCAGACUCCUACGGGAGGCAGCAGUGGGGAAUAUUGGACAAUGGGCGAAAGCCUGAUCCAGCAAUGCCGCGUGAGUGAUGAAGGCCUUAGGGUUGUAAAGCUCUUUUACCCGGGAUGAUAAUGACAGUACCGGGAGAAUAAGCUCCGGCUAACUCCGUG
rnacentral:rRNA from 1 species